AGGACGAACGCUGGCGGCGUGCCUAACACAUGCAAGUCGAACGAAGAAUGUUUUCGGAAUAUUCUUAGUGGCGGACGGGUGAGUAACGCGUGAACAAUCUGCCCCGUACAAAGGGAUAGCCUCGGGAAACCGGGAUUAAAACCAUAUAACACUUAACUGCCGCAUGGUAGUGAAGUCAAAUCGAUUAAGAGGUAUGGGAUGAGUUCGCGUCUGAUUAGCUAGUUGGUGAGGUAAGGGCUCACCAAGGCGACGAUCAGUAGCCGGCCUGAGAGGGUGAACGGCCACACUGGAACUGAGACACGGUCCAGACUCCUACGGGAGGCAGCAGUGGGGAAUAUUGCACAAUGGAGGGAACUCUGAUGCAGCGACGCCGCGUGAGUGAAGAAGGUCUUCGGAUCGUAAAACUCUGUCCUUGGUGAAGAAAAGGACGGUAGCCAAGGAGGAAGCCCCGGCUAACUACGUG
rnacentral:rRNA from 1 species